rnacentral:rRNA from 1 species
AUUGAACGCUGGCGGCAGGCCUAACACAUGCAAGUCGAACGAGUGGCGGACGGGUGAGUAAUGUCUGGGCAACUGCCUGAUGGAGGGGGAUAACUACUGGAACCCGUGGCUAAUACCGCAUACGACCAGAUGUGCCCAGGUGGGAUUAGCUUGUUGGUGGGGUAACGGCUCACCAAGGCGACGAUCCCUAGCUGGUCUGAGAGGAUGACCAGCCACACUGGAACUGAGACACGGUCCAGACUCCUACGGGAGGCAGCAGUGGGGAAUAUUGCACAAUGGGCGCAAGCCUGACGCAGCCAUGCCGCGUGUAUGAAGAAGGCUUUCGGGUUGUAAAGUACUUUCAGCGGGGAGGCGUUACCCGCAGAGGAAGCACCGGCUAACUCCGUGCCAGCAGCCGCGGUAAUUC